GUGGGGAAUAUUGGGCAAUGGGCGAAAGCCUGACCCAGCAACGCCGCGUGAAGGAAGAAGGUUUUCGGAUCGUAAACUUCUAUCCUUGGUGAAGAUAAUGACGGUAGCCAAGAAGGAAGCCCCGGCUAACUACGUGCCAGCAGCCGCGGUAAUACGUAGGGGGCAAGCGUUGUCCGGAAUGAUUGGGCGUAAAGGGCGCGUAGGCGGCCCGGUAAGUCUGGAGUGAAAGUCCUGCUUUUAAGGUGGGAAUUGCUUUGGAUACUGUCGGGCUUGAGUGCAGGAGAGGUAAGCGGAAUUCCCGGUGUAGCGGUGAAAUGCGUAGAGAUCGGGAGGAACACCAGUGGCGAAGGCGGCUUACUGGACUGUAACUGACGCUGAGGCGCGAAAGUGUGGGGAGCAAACAGGAUUAGAAACCCGGGUAGUCC
rnacentral:rRNA from 1 species